AGAGUUUGAUCCCCUUUCAGAACGAACGCUGGCGGGGUGCCUAACACAUGCAAGUCGAGCGAGAAACCUUUUUUCGGAAAGGGAGUCAAGCGGCGAACGGGUGAGUAACACGUGGGUAAUCUGCCCCUGAGUCUGGGAUAACCCGGGGAAACCCGGGCUAAUACCGGAUACGGCCUGAAGGACUUCGGUUCUUCAGGAGAAAGGUGGCCUCUGCUUGCAAGCUAUCACUCGGGGAGGGGCCCGCGGCCCAUUAGUUUGUUGGUGAGGGAACGGCUCACCAAGGCAAAGAUGGGUAGCUGGCCUGAGAGGAUGACCAGCCACACUGGAACUGACACACGGUCCAGACUCCUACGGGAGGCAGCAGUGGGGAAUUUUGGGCAAUGGGCGCAAGUCUGAGGCAGCAACGCCGCGUGGGUGAUGAAGGCCUUCGGGUUGUAAAGCCCUUUUCUGGGGGACGAGUAAGGACGGUACCCCAGGAAUAAGUCACGGCUAACUACGAGCCAGCAGCCGCGGUAAUACAUAGGUGGCGAGCGUUAUCCGGAUUUACUGGGCGUAAAGCGCGUGUAUGUGGUUCUGUAAGCCGGACGUGACAGCUCCUGUCUUAACUGGCAGAGGCCGCCCGAUACUGCCGGGACUUGAGGUCGGGAGAGGGACGUGGAAUUCCCGGUUGUAGAGGUGGAAUGGUUAGAUAUGGGGAGGAACACCAGUGGGGAAGGCGGCGUCCUGGCCCGCACCUGACAAUGAGAAACGAAAGAGUGGGGAGCGAACGGGAUUAGAUACUCCGGUAGUCCACGCCGUAACAGGUGGAUACUAGGUGUUGGUUGACUAUCGUCAUCAGUGCCGUAGUUAACGCGUUAAGUAUCCCGCUUGGGGAAUACGAACCGCAAAGGCUAAAACUCAAAGGAAUUGACGGGGGCCCGCACAAGCAGCGGAGCGUGUGGUUUAAUUCGAGGCAACACGAAGAACCUUACCUGGGCUUGACAUGUACGUAGUAGUGAAGCGAAAGCGGAACGAUCCUUCGGGAAGCGUACGCAGGUGCUGCAUGGCUGUCGUCAGCUCGUGCCGUGAGGUGUUCGGUUAAGUCCGGUAACGAGCGCAACCCUCACCGUUAGUUACAUGUGUCUAACGGGACUGCCGGUUUAAUGCCGGAGGAAGGUGGGGAUGACGUCAAGUCAGCAUGGCCCUUAUGUCCAGGGCUACACACACGCUACAAUGGCCGGUACAAUGGGUUGCCAAGCCGCGAGGCGGAGCUAAUCCUCCAAAGCCGGUCUCAGUUCGGAUUGCAGGCUGCAACUCGCCUGCAUGAAGUCGGAGUUGCUAGUAACCGCAGGUCAGCCAUACUGCGGUGAAUACGUUCCCGGGCGUUGUACACACCGCCCGUCACGUCAUGGGAGCUGGUAACACCUGAAGCCGGCGGGCUAUCCGCAAGGAGGCAGAGGUGGAAGGUGGGACUGGUAACUGGGAUGAAGUCGUAACAA
rnacentral:rRNA from 1 species